rnacentral:rRNA from 1 species
UACGUAGGCAGCGAGCGUUGUUCGGAGUUACUGGGCGUAAAGGGUGUGUAGGCGGUUGUUUAAGUUUGGUGUGAAAUCCCCCGGCCCAACCGGGGAACUGCGUCCAGUACUGCGUUGCUUGAGGAUCCAAGGGGUGCAUGGAAUUCCCGGUGGAGCGGUGAAAUGCGUUGAUAUCGGGAGGAACUCCGGCGGCGAAAGCGGUGCACUGGUGGAUUACUGACGCUGAGGUGCGAAAGCCAGGGGAGCAAACGGG